rnacentral:misc_RNA from 1 species
GAUGAAGAACGCAGUGAAAUGCGAUAAGUAAUGCGAAUUGCAGAAUCCGUGAGUCAUCGAAUCUUUGAACGCACAUUGCGCCCUUAGGUAUUCCGAAGGGCAUGCCUGUUCGAGCGUCAUUAUCACCACUCAAGCCCGGCUUGCUGUUGGUGGCAGCGCAGCCGGUCAACCGGCUACGCUCCACCCAAAGAUAAUGACGGCGUCUGCGAGGACUCCUGUACAUUGAGCUUUCGGGCACGUACAUGGCUAGAAGUCCAGGCGCCGGUCGACGUCCUCCGGGACACUUUUUACCAAGGUUGACCUCGGAUCAGGUAGGGAUACCCGCUGAACUUAAGCAUAUCAAUAAGCGGAGGA